GGGCCCGCACAAGCGGUGGAGCAUGUGGUUUAAUUCGAUGAUACGCGAGGAACCUUACCAGGGUUUAAAUGCAGAACGACAGGGGUGGAAACACCCCCUUCUUCGGACGGACUGCAAGGUGCUGCAUGGUUGUCGUCAGCUCGUGCUGUGAAGUGUCGGGUUAAGUCCCAUAACGAGCGCAACCCCCAUUUCUAGUUGCCAGCGGUUCGGCCGGGGACUCUAGAGAAACUGCCAGCGUAAGCUGUGAGGAAGGUGGGGAUGACGUCAAAUCAUCACGGCCCUUACAUCCUGGGCCACACACGUGCUACAAUGGUGGGGACAACAGGUUGCCAACCCGCGAGGGUGAGCCAAUCCCAAAAAGAUACCUCAGUUCGGAUUGCACUCUGCAACUCGAGUGCAUG
rnacentral:rRNA from 1 species